GACGAACGCUGGCGGCGUGCUUAACACAUGCAAGUCGAACGGAAAGGCCUGCUUUCCCUUGUGGAUUGCGGGUACUCGAGUGGCGAACGGGUGAGUAACACGUGAGUGAUCUGCCCCCAACUUGGGUAUAAGCCUGGGAAACUGGGUCUAAUUCCCGAUAGGACUGCAGGGUGGUGCCUGUGGUGGAAAACGAUUUUCUAGUGGUUGGGGAUGAGCUCGCGGCCUAUCAGCUUGUUGGUGGGGUAAUGGCCUACCAAGGCGGCGACGGGUAGCCGGCCUGAGAGGGUGGACGGCCACAUUGGGACUGAGAUACGGCCCAGACUCCUACGGGAGGCAGCAGUGGGGAAUAUUGCACAAUGGGCGGAAGCCUGAUGCAGCGACGCCGCGUGGGGGAUGACGGCCUUCGGGUUGUAAACUCCUUUCGACCGCGAGGAAGCCACCUGGUUGGAAGGGUGGUGACGGUAGUGGUAGAAGAUGCACCGGCUAACUACGUG
rnacentral:rRNA from 1 species